UCCUCACAAUUAUGGCGUCUGGUGGAAUGGCACAUCCUACUGUGGAAAAAGUUAAUGAUGAUGCAAUGUUUGUUGACAAACUGCCCGAGGAAAUCAAUGAAAUGAAAAUCAAAUAUGACAAGGUGGAAAAGGAAAUGGAGGCAACUGUAGUGGAUGGAAAUGGCACUGAAACUGGUCAUAUUAUUGUUACCACUAUCAGAGGAAGAAACGGUCAACCCAAGCAGACAAUAAGCUACAAAUGAGGCGAUUCUUGUUCAUCCCAACGUUGUUUCGCUCAAACACUGCUUCUUUUCAACUACAGACAAAGGCGAACUUUAUCAAAUUUGGUUCUAGAAUACGUGCCCGGAACAGCUUAUCGUGUAGCAAGACACUAUAGUAAGGCAAAUCAAAGGAUGCCCAUGAUUUAUGUUAAGCUCACACCUAUCAAGUUUACUCUUUUCCGAGACCGUGUUGAGCACUUGCGUAUAUUCAUGCAAUCGGCGUCUGCCACCGAGACAUUAAGCCUCAAAAUCUUCUGGUGGUGGUUCUGCGACUCGGAAAGGAGAACGGGUGCUUGGAGGUCUUAUAGGACAAGCGACAGUGGGAAAGAAGGAGCCGCCACCAUGGCUUUGGCCACGGCGAAAGCUAAGGUUUCCAUAUGAGAUCUUCGGCGAUUCAAAUCAGUUUUCGGCAGCUAUGAUUCUCGUCUUUUAUUUUCUGUAGUUGUAACAUGCAUUCUAACAGAUGCUAUAAAAGCCGCCACUGGACGACAUUGACUGGCUAUCUCUUUUGGCAUUGCUUUUGGGUGGAACUAAUGCAUAUAAAACUUUAUAUCAUUUUCUUAAGGUAAAAAAAAAUGAUACUUAACAACUACGAUGUACAUCUUUUAGCAGCAGCAGGCUCCCAACAUUUGUGGGUAAAAAUGUACCUUUUCAGUGGUGCAACAUUUGUAAAUUUUAAAGGAUUUUACAAGUUAGAGAUCAAAGUCUUCGAUCAUAUUUAAAUUCUUUAGAAGUCACUUUUUAAAUUGUGCCAAUUUGAGUUUUUAUGUUAGUCUUAUAGGUUC